AAAAUAAAUAAAACCUUAAGUUGGUAGCAGUGAAGCGGGAUGUAAAGGUAACAACUUAGAUUUACACUCAACUCACAGCAAUUCCUUUUGACCGCUAGACGAUCGCAAGCAGAAAGAUUAUCAAGACAAUAUAAGUAAAAAAUCCAAUUAAUUGUAAUUUGAGAACGAUGUCCAAAAAACUUUUUGCUUUACUCAAGUGGAUAGGAGGACCCGAUGAUAAAAAAUACACAGUUGGAAUCAACGUUAAAUAGAUAAAAGAAUUGGAUUAUGUAAAAUUUAAAAAUGAUUUAGAAGAGCCUGACAAAGUAUAUGUAGUAGAGUGGCGUGAUUCUAAGAAAUAACCCCUUGGUGGGUGGGAAUGUUUUAAUGCAAUGAUCAUUGCAGUCUCAGAAUCGAUUGAAGUGUUGGAAAAAAAACUUGAGACCCUUGAUGGAAUCAAAUCUCCAAUAAAAGUUAUCGAUGGUGACUGUCAUAAUCAGGAGGAUGAUGAUGAUGAUCUAACUAUGUCUAACAAUGCUCAUUCUUUCAAACGUAAAACCAAUCAGGUUGACAAUUCUGAGCCAUCAGCGGCUAAAAAAAUUAACUUUAGCGAUAAUUCUCUAGACGAUGAUCAAGUUCAAGUAAUGCUUUCAUAGGAUCUUUUUAUAAUUAUUUUAUCAGACUUUAUUUGAAAAAUAUUUUAUGUAAGUAUGAGCCAACAGUGAAUAAAUAUUAAUAGUUCAAUUAGUUUCAGAAUAAUCGUAAAUCUGACGUAGAAGUAUCUGAAGUCAUCCAACUCCAAGAUGAUGACAUUAGUACGAAGAUUUCGCCGACUAUUUUUAGUGUUAAUGAAAAGAAGAAGUCAAACUCUGACUCUUUAGAAAUUGUAGACGUCGAAAGUGGAUUAAAUAAUAAAGGAAGUCUCCCAUCAUCCUCCGAAGCUAAGACCUCCUCUUCUUCUGACAUUGGUAGACCACUACAAACUCAAACUUCUCCAAAUCAGUUCGUAACAAAACAUGACUUGAGUGCAGCUUUAGCGGAGAUGAAAAGUUUUCUUACUAAUAGUCAACGAAAAAAAGAUCAUAAAUGUCAAGCAAGUACUAGUAAGCCCGAAGAAGUUGAAAAUAUGGAUCCUGAUUUAGAAAUAGGAAAAAAUGGAAGUAAAAUUUACGUAACCAGAGAGCAGUGGGAUUGCAUAAAAUCA